CUGACGAAAAAUCUUAUAUCUUGACUUAGGAACAUCGCAAUCACGAACGGUUUGCGGCGUCGGAAAGAAGACACAUAGAGCUACGUCAUAUACGAAAACCACAAUCAAAUUGCUUCUAUAUUGGCUCAGGAACAUCGCAAUCACGAACGGUUUGCGGCGUCGGAAAGAAGACACAUAGAGCUACAUCAUAUACGAAAACCACAAUCAAAUUGCUUCUAUAUUGGCUCAGGUCUUUGGGCGCAUCUGUACGGAUUUGAAUUUAAACAAUGAUGAUGCACUUUCGUGAUCGCGAUACGCCGCGUCCUCAUCUAGAGAUAGUGAGCGACAAACGAAAUCCGAACGCCAAAGUCCUUGCCUUGGAGGUUCAACCUCCAGUGAUCGGUGCUUUCUCACUUAACGGAGAGCUUUCUACACUUCAUCUUGCUGAAUGGUCUAAAAAGGAGACCAAAGACGUCAUGAGCCACUUCUCAGGAAAGGCCACUGUUAUGGACGUCCCUCUGUUGAAGUCCGCAAUUCAUCGAGAAGUCGUGCCCACCGAAUCUUCUCAUCCCAAUGGAUGUUUCAACAACUGGAGUGUCCCGCCUUCUGGUUUCGGAAAAGUUUGCUACACACCCGGCUACUGGGAGUGGGUGGAAGAUGUGCUUCC